rnacentral:rRNA from 1 species
GUUUGAUCCUGGCUCAGGAUGAACGCUAGCGGCAGGCUUAACACAUGCAAGUCGAGGGGUAACAGGAGUAGCAAUACUUGCUGACGACCGGCGCACGGGUGAGUAACGCGUAUGCAACCUACCUCUAACUGAGGGAUAGCCCGGAGAAAUCCGGAUUAAUACCUCAUAAUAUUUCGAAUUCGCAUGUUUUCGAAAUUAAAGCUCUGGCGGUUAGAGAUGGGCAUGCGUGACAUUAGUUAGUUGGUGAGGUAACGGCUCACCAAGACUGCGAUGUCUAGGGGGUCUGAGAGGAUGGUCCCCCACACUGGUACUGAGACACGGACCAGACUCCUACGGGAGGCAGCAGUGAGGAAUAUUGGGCAAUGGACGCAAGUCUGACCCAGCCAUGCCGCGUGCAGGAUGACUGCCCUAUGGGUUGUAAACUGCUUUUAUUUGGGAAGAAACCCCUGCUCGUGAGCGGGGCUGACGGUACCAAAAGAAUAAGCAUCGGCUAACUCCGUGCCAGCAGCCGCGGUAAUACGGAGGAUGCAAGCGUUAUCCGGAUUUAUUGGGUUUAAAGGGUGCGCAGGCGGGAAAUUAAGUCAGUGGUGAAAUCCUGCAGCUUAACUGUAGAAUUGCCAUUGAUACUGAUUUUCUUGAGUGCAGUUGAGGUGGGCGGAAUGUGUAAUGUAGCGGUGAAAUGCUUAGAUAUUACACAGAACACCGAUUGCGUAGGCAGCUCACUAAACUGUUACUGACGCUCAGGCACGAAAGCGUGGUAGUCCACGCCGUAAACUAUGAUCACUCGUUGUUGGCAAUAAACCGUCAGCGACUAAGCUAAAGCAAUAAGUGAUCCACCUGGGGAGUACGGUCGCAAGAUUGAAACUCAAAGGAAUUGACGGGGGCCCGCACAAGCGGAGGAACAUGUGGUUUAAUUCGAUGAUACGCGAGGAACCUUACCUGGGCUUAAAUGCAGAACGAUUUCCGCCGAAAGGUGGUUUCCUUCGGGCGUUUUGCAAGGUGCUGCAUGGUUGUCGUCAGCUCGUGCCGUGAGGUGUCGGGUUAAGUCCCAUAACGAGCGCAACCCUCAUCGUUAGUUGCCAUCGGGUAAUGCCGGGGACUCUAACGAAACUGCCGGUGUAAACCGUGAGGAAGGUGGGGAUGACGUCAAAUCAGCACGGCCCUUAUGUCCAGGGCUACACACGUGUUACAAUGGCCAGUACAAAGGGCAGCUACCUGGUGACAGGAUGCUAAUCUCUAAAACUGGUCUCAGUUCGGAUCGAAGUCUGCAACUCGACUUCGUGAAGAUGGAUUCGCUAGUAAUCGCGCAUCAGCAACGGCGUGGUGAAUACGUUCCCGGGCCUUGUACACACCGCCCGUCAAGCCAUGGAAGCUGGGGGUGCCUGAAGUUCGUAACCGCAAGGAGCGACCUAGGGUAAAACUAGUGACUGGGGCUAAGUCGUAACAAGGU